GCGGACGUGUCGGAGUGGUCAAACUAAACAUUGUUUGGCAGGAUAGGUGCUAAACAUCUAGCUUCACAAAGGCCGAUGAAAUGCUCUAUGGGCCAUCUGUUGGCUUAGUGCCUACGCAGGUUCAAAUCCUGCCGUCCGCA
rnacentral:tRNA from 1 species